rnacentral:rRNA from 1 species
CCAGCCGUAAACGAUGCUCGCUAGGUGUCAGGCAUGGCGCGACCGUGUCUGGUGCCGCAGGGAAGCCGUGAAGCGAGCCACCUGGGAAGUACGGCCGCAAGGCUGAAACUUAAAGGAAUU